CCUGACUGCUAUCGGAUUGAUACUAAGCCAUGCGAGUCUUUGUAGUAAUACAAGGCAGACGGCUCAGUAACACGUAGUCAACCUACCCUAUGGACAAGAAUAAUCUCGGGAAACUGGGCAUAAUUCUUGAUAGAUCAUAAUGCCUGGAAUGGUUUAUGGUUAAAAUGAUUCGUCGCCAUAGGAUGGGACUGCGGCCUAUCAGCUUGUUGGUGAGGUAAUGGCCCACCAAGGCGAUUACAGGUACGGGCUCUGAGAGGAGAAGCCCGGAGAUGGUACUGAGACACGGACCCAGGCCUAUGGGCGCAGCAGGCGAGAAACUUUGCAAUGUGCGAAAGCACGACAAGGUUAAUCCGAGUGAUUUCUGCUAAAGAAAUCUUUUGCCAGUCAUAAAACCACUGGUGAAUAAGGGGUGGGCAAGUUCUGGUGUCAGCCGCCGCGGUAAAACCAGCACCUCAAGUUGUCAGGAUGAUUAUUGGGCCUAAAGCAUCCGUAGCCGGCUUUGUUAGUUUUCGGUUAAAUCCAUGUGCUCAACGCAUGGGCUGCCGAAAAUACUGCAGGGCUAGGGAGUGGGAGAGGUAGACGGUACUCAGUAGGAAGGGGUAAAAUCCUUUGAUCUAUUGAUGACCACCUGUGGCGAAGGCGGUCUACCAGAACACGUUCGACGGUGAGGGAUGAAAGCUGGGGGAGCAAACCGGAUUAGAUACCCGGGUAGUCCCAGCUGUAAACGAUGCAGACUCGAUGAUGCAUCGGCAUAUAGCCAGUGCAGUGUCGCAGGGAAGCCGUUAAGUCUGCCGCCUGGGAAGUACGUACGCAAGUAUGAAACUUAAAGGAAUUGGCGGGGGAGCACCACAAGGGGUGAAGCCUGCGGUUC
rnacentral:rRNA from 1 species